rnacentral:tRNA from 1 species
AAGAGAUUAGUUAAAAUUAUAACAUUAAUUUGUCAAAUUAAAAUUAUUUAUUUAUAUCGCUUA